GAGGCGGCCGGGCCUGCACGGUGCGCUCUCCUUCACUGUGUGAGCUCUGGGGUAGAGACAGCUGCGGGUCCUGGAGCACAGCCUGACUCCUGUACAUGGUGGUAGAAAUGAAAACCCCUGAUGCUCCUGGUGAAGGGUUGUCAGAGGAGGACAUGGCCCGUCCAGGUUCCUACAAUAUAGUAUUCUCUCAGUGGAUAUCUUCUAUAUGACAUCAAUCUCCUGAUUGACCCAUCAAGGAUGGACAGGGACAGGGACAAGAUGGCGGAGAGUAUAAUAAAUCUCACCCUAGAGAUCCUCUUCCGGCUUACUGGAGAGGACUACACAGUAGUGAAGAAGACCUCUAGUGAGCGCUGUCAGGCCCCUGUGUCUGAAGGA